UAGUUUCGAUUUUGAUUCAGCGUUUGACGCAAGUUUCAAGUGAAGGAAGUACAUCGGAUUUUGUAGUUUUUGUUGAAAUGGUCUUAUUUGAUUUGGGGGCUGCAUUUCUUCCCCUCGAAAUUUCUGCUCAGUUUUGUUGCAAUCUUUAAAUCUCUAUUUGUUUGCCGGGUCGUCUGCAGUGUGAAAACAAAAUCUCUCUCCCUCCCCGACCCGUGCAAAAAGGACAGACGUCUCACAAACUUUCGUGCAGAAUGGAUAAUGCCAUAGUGAUAGCAUUUUAAUGUAUGUAAGAACUCUGUAUGAAGAGACUACCGUAAGAACCAUACUUCGGGAUUCCAUCGCCACCUUGAGUUAUGCUACUUGGCGGUAGCUGAAUAAAGGGGCUAUUUAUGCCACUCACUGAUUCCGGUCAUUAUUUGAACACGAUCCCACACUGAUGAGCAUCCUGGACAGCAAGAUCAACACCAACUUGAGACUUGCUCCAUGGUGAUCAUCCACACAGAUUAUCUUCAUGCUGGCUUCUAU